rnacentral:rRNA from 1 species
GACGAACGCUGGCGGCGUGCUUAACACAUGCAAGUCGAACGCAAAGGCCCUGCUUUUGUGGGGUGCUCGAGUGGCGAACGGGUGAGUAACACGUGAGUAACCUGCCCUUGACUUUGGGAUAACUUCAGGAAACUGGGGCUAAUACCGGAUAGGAGCUCCUGCUGCAUGGUGGGGGUUGGAAAGUUUCGGCGGUUGGGGAUGGACUCGCGGCUUAUCAGCUUGUUGGUGGGGUAGUGGCUUACCAAGGCUUUGACGGGUAGCCGGCCUGAGAGGGUGACCGGCCACAUUGGGACUGAGAUACGGCCCAGACUCCUACGGGAGGCAGCAGUGGGGAAUAUUGCACAAUGGGCGGAAGCCUGAUGCAGCAACGCCGCGUGCGGGAUGACGGCCUUCGGGUUGUAAACCGCUUUCGCCUGUGACGAAGCGUGAGUGACGGUAAUGGGUAAAGAAGCACCGGCUAACUACGU